rnacentral:rRNA from 1 species
AUUGAACGCUGGCGGCAGGCCUAACACAUGCAAGUCGAGCGGAUGAAGGGAGCUUGCUCCUGGAUUCAGCGGCGGACGGGUGAGUAAUGCCUAGGAAUCUGCCUGGUAGUGGGGGAUAACGUCCGGAAACGGGCGCUAAUACCGCAUACGUCCUGAGGGAGGAAGUGGGGGAUCUUCGGACCUCACGCUAUCAGAUGAGCCUAGGUCGGAUUAGCUAGUUGGUGGGGUAAAGGCCUACCAAGGCGACGAUCCGUAACUGGUCUGAGAGGAUGAUCAGUCACACUGGAACUGAGACACGGUCCAGACUCCUACGGGAGGCAGCAGUGGGGAAUAUUGGACAAUGGGCGAAAGCCUGAUCCAGCCAUGCCGCGUGUGUGAAGAAGGUCUUCGGAUUGUAAAGCACUUUAAGUUGGGAGGAAGGGCAGUAAGUUAAUACCUUGCUGUUUUGACGUUACCAACAGGAUAAGCACCGGCUAACUUCGUG